rfam:Triticum aestivum genome assembly, contig: Triticum_aestivum_CS42_TGACv1_scaffold_132775_2BL
AAAGUACUCGCUCCGUCCCAAAAUUCGUGUCUUAGAUUUGUCUAGAUACAGAUGUAUCAAGUCACAUUUUAGUACUAGAUACAUCCAUAUCUAAAGAAAUCUAAGACAAGAAAUUUGGGACAGAGGGAGUAGUUG